rnacentral:lncRNA from 1 species
GUGAGCAUUGAGGUGUCAGCAGCGAUCAGCGAGAACUUGUACAGGACAACGGCGUUCGAGGUGGAGCUGCUGGUGUAUACAGACAAUGGCCUAGGCGCAGGGCUGGGCCGCUACGACCGGCACAGCAGAACAGACUGCUCCUUUCACGUCAAGUGCCUCACCGCUGCGAGCGUCAGAUACACAUCCGACUAGGGUAAUGCAGCAGCUUUGCUUCCGUCGGGCUGCCCCUGAGGAACCCUGUUACUAAGAGCCAUAGCAAGUAGCAGGGCCUGGUGCAUAUAUAUUGGCAGCAGAUAUCGGAUAUUAGAGGAUCAGAUAUCGGAUCUCUAGAUGCCGCCUUAUUUACACAUGCCAUAGAGAAGGAGGAUUGAGCUCUAGAAUUGUCGAUACUGUGACUGCAUGUUGGGCAUACUUGAGGCAUGUCAUGACUGAUGUACAAUAUUGGAGGCGCACGUGGGAGCAAAUAUUAUGUAAGGAAUC